GAUGAACGCUGGCGGCGUGCCUAAUACAUGCAAGUCGAGCGAACAGACGAGGAGCUUGCUCCUCUUACUUUAGCGGCGAACGGGUGAGUAACACGUGGGUAACCUGCCUAUAAGACUGGGAUAACUUCGGGAAACCGGAGCUAAUACCGGAUAAUAUAGUGAACCGCAGGGUUCAAUAGAGAAAGACGUUGUUGCUGUCUCAGAUAGAUGGAUCCGUGCCGCAUUAGCGAGUUGGUACGGUAACGGCUUACCACGGCAACGAUGCGUAGCCGAGCUGAGGGGGUGAUAGGCCACACUGGAACGGGGACGCCGACCAGACGCCUAAGGGAGGCCGCAGUCUGCAACCGUACGCAAUGGGCGAAAGCCUUACGGAGCAACGCCGCGUGAGUGAUGAAGGUCUUCGGAUCGUAAAACACUGUUAUUAGUGAAGAACAAAUGUGUAAGUAACUAUGCACGUCGUGACGGUACCUAAUCAGAAAGCCACGGCUAACUACGUG
rnacentral:rRNA from 1 species